rnacentral:rRNA from 1 species
UACGGGGGGGGCGAGCGUUGUUCGGAAUUACUGGGCGUAAAGGGUUUGUAGGUGGUCUGCUAAGUCAGACGUGAAAUCCCUCAGCUUAACUGGGGAACUGCGUCUGAUACUGGCGGACUUGAGGACAGGAGAGGAACGCGGAAUUCCAGGUGUAGCGGUGAAAUGCGUAGAUAUCUGGAGGAACACCGGUGGCGAAGGCGGCGUUCUGGACUGACACUGACGCUCAUGCACGAAAGCGUGGGGAGCAAACAGG